UGCAUAUCCAAAAAGCGGAGGAAAAGAAACCAACAGGGAUUGCCUCAGUAGCGGCGAGUGAAGCGGCAAGAGCUCAGAUUUGAAAUCGUGCUUUGCGGCACGAGUUGUAGAUUGCAGGUUGGAGUCUGUGUGGAAGGCGGUGUCCAAGUCCCUUGGAACAGGGCGCCCAGGAGGGUGAGAGCCCCGUGGGAUGCCGGCGGAAGCAGUGAGGCCCUUCUGACGAGUCGAGUUGUUUGGGAAUGCAGCUCCAAGCGGGUGGUAAAUUCCAUCUAAGGCUAAAUACUGGCGAGAGACCGAUAGCGAACAAGUACUGUGAAGGAAAGAUGAAAAGCACUUUGAAAAGAGAGUGAAACAGCACGUGAAAUUGUUGAAAGGGAAGGGUAUUGCGCCCGACAUGGGGAUUGCGCACCGCUGCCUCUCGUGGGCGGCGCUCUGGGCUUUCCCUGGGCCAGCAUCGGUUCUUGCUGCAGGAGAAGGGGUUCUGGAACGUGGCUCUUCGGAGUGUUAUAGCCAGGGCCAGAUGCUGCGUGCGGGGACCGAGGACUGCGGCCGUGUAGGUCACGGAUGCUGGCAGAACGGCGCAACACCGCCCGUCUUGAAACACGGACC
rnacentral:rRNA from 1 species